rnacentral:ncRNA from 1 species
UAUGGUAGAGGCGCGGGAAGUAUAAGUAGCGUGCAGGAGUUCCGGAGCGUUUGGACUGCAGGUGAAAGGAUUACCGCCGAAGGGAUGUGCUCCCCGGAGAGUAUGUUGCCUGGGCAUACGGUGAAUAAUCGUAUGACUGUCAGCCGGGUGCUGGAGUGCUACUUU